rnacentral:rRNA from 1 species
AUGAACGCUGGCGGCGUGCCUAACACACGCAAGUCGAACGAAGCACCUUACCUGAUUCUUCGGAUGAAAGUUUGGUGACGGAGUGGCGGACGGGUGAGUAACGCGUGGGUAACCUGCCCUGUACAGGGGGAUAACAGCUGGAAACGGCUGCUAAUACCGCAUAAGCGCACGAGGAGACAUCUCCUUGUGUGAAAAACUCCGGUGGUACAGGAUGGGCCCGCGUCUGAUUAGCUGGUUGGCAGGGUAACGGCCUACCAAGGCAACGAUCAGUAGCCGGUCUGAGAGGAUGAACGGCCACAUUGGAACUGGGACACGGUCCAAACUCCUACGGGAGGCAGCAGUGGGGAAUAUUGCACAAUGGGGGAAACCCUGAUGCAGCAACGCCGCGUGAGUGAAGAAGUAUUUCGGUAUGUAAAGCUCUAUCAGCAGGGAAGAUAAUGACGGUACCUGACUAAGAAGCGCCGGCUAAAUACGUG